GCCAGACUCCUACGGGAGGCAGCAGUGGGGGAUAUUGCACAAUGGGGGGAACCCUGAUGCAGCGACGCCGCGUGGGUGAAGGAGCGUUUCGGCGCGUAAAGCCCUAUCGGCAGGGAAGAAGGAGGACGGUACCUGACUAAGAAGCCCCGGCUAACUACGUGCCAGCAGCCGCGGUAAUACGUAGGGGGCAAGCGUUAUCCGGAUUUACUGGGUGUAAAGGGGGCGCAGACGGCAGCGCAAGCCAGGAGUGAAAGCCCGGGGCCCAACCCCGGGACUGCUCUUGGAACUGCGCGGCUGGAGUGCAGGAGGGGCAGGCGGAAUUCCUGGUGUAGCGGUGAAAUGCGUAGAUAUCAGGAGGAACACCGGUGGCGAAGGCGGCCUGCUGGACCGUGACUGACGUUGAGGCUCGAGAGCGUGGGGAGCAAACAGGAUUAGAUACCCGCGUAC
rnacentral:rRNA from 1 species